AGAGUUUGAUCCUGGCUCAGGACGAACGCUGGCGGCGCGCCUAACACAUGCAAGUCGAACGAGAGAGAGGGAGCUUGCUUCCUUGAUCGAGUGGCGAACGGGUGAGUAACGCGUGAGGAACCUGCCUCAAAGAGGGGGACAACAGUUGGAAACGACUGCUAAUACCGCAUAAGCCCACGACCCGGCAUCGGGAAGAGGGAAAAGGAGCAAUCCGCUUUGAGAUGGCCUCGCGUCCGAUUAGCUAGUUGGUGAGGUAACGGCCCACCAAGGCGACGAUCGGUAGCCGGACUGAGAGGUUGAACGGCCACAUUGGGACUGAGACACGGCCCAGACUCCUACGGGAGGCAGCAGUGGGGAAUAUUGCACAAUGGGGGAAACCCUGAUGCAGCGACGCCGCGUGGAGGAAGAAGGUCUUCGGAUUGUAAACUCCUGUUGUUGAGGAAGAUAAUGACGGUACUCAACAAGGAAGUGACGGCUAACUACGUGCCAGCAGCCGCGGUAAAACGUAGGUCACAAGCGUUGUCCGGAAUUACUGGGUGUAAAGGGAGCGCAGGCGGGCGAUCAAGUUGGAAGUGAAAUCCAUGGGCUCAACCCAUGAACUGCUUUCAAAACUGGUCGUCUUGAGUAGUGCAGAGGUAGGCGGAAUUCCCGGUGUAGCGGUGGAAUGCGUAGAUAUCGGGAGGAACACCAGUGGCGAAGGCGGCCUACUGGGCACCAACUGACGCUGAGGCUCGAAAGUGUGGGUAGCAAACAGGAUUAGAUACCCUGGUAGUCCACACCGUAAACGAUGAUUACUAGGUGUUGGGAGAUUGACCCUCUCAGUGCCGCAGUUAACACAAUAAGUAAUCCACCUGGGGAGUACGACCGCAAGGUUGAAACUCAAAGGAAUUGACGGGGGCCCGCAC
rnacentral:rRNA from 1 species